CAAACUCUUCGGAGGGCGAUCUUGGGCGUCGAGUGGCGGACGGGUGAGUAACGCGUGGGAAUCUACCCUUUAGUUGGGGACAACAUAUGGAAACGUAUGCUAAUACCGAAUAUGCUCUACGGAGUAAAGGUGGCCUCUACUUGUAAGCUAUCGCUAAAGGAUGAGCCCGCGUUAGAUUAGCUAGUUGGUGGGGUAAAGGCCUACCAAGGCGACGAUCUAUAGCUGGUUUGAGAGGAUGAUCAGCCACACUGGGACUGAGACACGGCCCAGACUCCUACGGGAGGCAGCAGUGGGGAAUAUUGCACAAUGAGGGAAACCUUGAUGCAGCCAUGCCGCGUGUGUGAAGAAGGCCCGAGGGUUGUAAAGCACUUUCAAUUGUGAGGAAAGGUUAGUCGCUAAUAUCGGCUAGCUGUGACGUUAACUUUAGAAGAAGCACCGGCUAACUCUGUGCCAGCAGCCGCGGUAAUACAGAGGGUGCAAGCGUUAUUCGGAAUUACUGGGCGUAAAGCGCGCGUAGGCGGACUGUUAAGUCGGUUGUGAAAGCCCUGGGCUCAACCUAGGAAUUGCAUCCGAUACUGGCAAUCUAGAGUUUAGGAGAGGGAAGUGGAAUUCCUGGUGUAGCAGUGAAAUGCGUAGAUAUCAGGAGGAACAUCAGUGGCGAAGGCGAC
rnacentral:rRNA from 1 species